AACGAUUUGAUAGCUGUCUUGCACACACAUCAUGGUAAAAUAUUCAUCAGUACAAAUAAUAUGCUGCUGACACUAAAGGACAAAAAGACCCUUUGAAGCUUUAUAGGGAUAAAACUCAUUUACAUUGUUUAUUAUUAAUCUUGUUGCUUCUCCGCAAACCUGUUAAUUGCUAAAGACCACUGUUUAAUUGGGGCGAUAACCUUAUCCACAGCCACCUAAGGUGAACAAAGCGAUACAAGGAUCCUUGACCAACUAAUAAGUGCAAAGAUACAUGUUUUGCUUAAUGGCCCAACAAGUCCUUCCCAGUACUUAAAUGCUAUCUUAAUGAGCUUUAAAUUAAUUUACCAGAGUGAAGCUACUCUACGGAUAACAGGCUUAAUUUCCGCAAUAUCCAAGGUCACAUUAUCAAGAAUAAAGCACCUCGAUGUCGGCUUAUCUCAACCAAGGUAAGUAGCCCAAAUAUUGGUGGGAGUGCUCA
rnacentral:rRNA from 1 species